GGAGCGGUGAAGGGGAAGAGGAGGGAAGUAGGACUUCAACAUGGCGGCCGAGGUACUGGCGGUGGCUACGGCCUGGCCCGGGGCGGACAGAGUUGGAAGUGGUGUCUUUCGCUUUCCCUAGGGGCGUCGGGAACUUAGCGGGGACUGAGCCUGGGAGGUCGGCUGGUGCCAGAACCUUUCGGUUUUUGGGACGGCGGCGGCAGCAGCGUUCAGGUGAGGGGGCCUCUCUGGGGGAGGAGGAAAGAGGGG
rnacentral:lncRNA from 1 species